rnacentral:rRNA from 1 species
GAUGAACGCUGGCGGCGUGCUUAACACAUGCAAGUCGAACGAAGAUGCCGGAGUGCUUGCACUUUGGCAGACUGAGUGGCGGACGGGUGAGUAACGCGUGGGUAACCUGCCUUAUACAGGGGGAUAACAGUUGGAAACGACUGCUAAUACCGCAUAAGCGCACGGUAUCGCAUGAUACAGUGUGAAAAACUCCGGUGGUAUAAGAUGGACCCGCGUCUGAUUAGCUUGUUGGUGAGGUAACGGCCCACCAAGGCGACGAUCAGUAGCCGGCCUGAGAGGGUGAACGGCCACAUUGGGACUGAGACACGGCCCAAACUCCUACGGGAGGCAGCAGUGGGGAAUAUUGCACAAUGGGGGGAAACCCUGAUGCAGCGACGCCGCGUGAGUGAUGAAGUAUUUCGGUAUGUAAAACUCUAUCAGCAGGGAAGAUAAUGACGGUACCUGACUAAGAAGCACCGGCUAAAUACGUAG